rnacentral:rRNA from 1 species
UACAGAGGUCUCAACCGUUGUUCGGAUUCAUUGGGCGUAAAGGGUGCGUAGGCGGUCGCGCAAGUCGGAUGUGAAAUCUUAGGGCUCAACCCUGAAACUGCAUUCGAUACUGCGUGGCUCGAGUACUGGAGAGGAGACUGGAAUUUACGGUGUAGCAGUGAAAUGCGUAGAUAUCUGGAGGAACACCGGUGGCGAAGGCGGCAUCCUGGACCAACACUGACGCUGAGGAGCGAAAGCCAGGGGAGCAAACGGG